AUGCUGGACGCCAUUUUGUUGCACGUGCUGCUGCAAUCUUUGCAGUGCAAAGCCAGGCCGGGGAGCCAUCUUAAGUUGAGGCUACAUAGGCCUUGUGGUGCAUGUGAUUCAGAUUCUAUUCAGUUGAACCUCUGGUUACAAAGUUGGUUGGACAGUGUUCUCGAAUCAACCAGCAUGCGUUUGACCAGACUGCAGGAGGACAGGAAGACUGGAGUGCCUGGAACAGGUGAGGCUGCAGGUCCCUUAUUUUGGCUGCUGGUCCCUUAUUUUCAAAUCUUUUAGAGCAUCAUCAGAGGGCAAACAGGAGUGAUGUGGACAUUCAGCAGAAUAGCAGCCCAGCGAUGGAGACAAAUCCAAUUUGCGGUUCCCUUUAGCUGCUUUUCCUUCAAAAUAAACGCAGCCAACUUAAGCAUGCUUAAAAAAACAAAAACAAACCAUGGUUAACUCAGUGUUUGACCCUGAGCUUUCAUGAGUCAAGGAUACUCUCUUGAUUUCACUUCUAGCAUCAAUACUGUCAGCUAGAGAUGGAUGAAUCUGCCACUUUUGGUUUCUCUCCAUUGCUCACUCUUCCAGUUGCAAGUUUGGUUUUCCACAUUUCUGCAUCAGGGCAAUUCAUCAGCAUUCCAGUGGAAAUUUACUUGCAAAUAUAUUUUUAUACCGCUAGAUCAGAAGAUAGAUAAAUAAUAUGCUGCUUACAGCAAUGAAAGCAUAAAACCAUACAUUAAAACCAGUUUAAAAAAUGAUCCAGAAGUGUUUUCAGCUGUACACAAUUAUUUCCCAUAUAUUCAAUAAACGUUUUCCAAUCUUCUCUAAACGUAUGUUCUUCUUGUUCUCUUAUUCUAUAUGUUAAGUCUGCGAGUUGCGCAUGUUCUGUCAACUUAAGUUGCCAUUCUUCUUUGGUUGGGACCUCGCUUGUUUUCCAAUUUUGGGGCUAACAAAACAUGGGCUGCAGUAGUGGCAUACAUAAAUAACCUUUUUUGACACCUGGGAAUUUCAGUCUGAAUUAUCCCCAACAGAAAGGACUCUGGGUUGUUUUUUUUUAAUUCUUCCUCCCCAUGCAGUCAAUGAACACAGCUAAUAACACCAGGAGCUAUCCAUUUCCCUUUCAUUGACUCUGUCACUACUGCAAAUCACUUGUUCCUUACUCCUGGCCUCUGACUUCACAUUUUGCAUCACCACAAGGGUGACUCGUACUAAUAGCUAAUGACUUCCUCUCUCCUUGCUUACAUCUCCUGGCCAUUUAAAGGAAAUGGGCUUAUAGCUAUUAUCAUUCGACCACCUCAUCUUCUGUGUGUUUGGCUGCCAGGCAGAACAAAACUGAAGAUACUCUUCUCUCUCUCUCUCUCUCUCUCUCUCUCUCUCUCUCUCUCUCUCUCUGUGUGUGUGUGUUUGUGUGUGUUCCACUUUUCCUUCCCUUCCCUUGAGAAAUGAAACUAGUCCUAGGCAAAGAAACCACCCCAUCCCAAAACUGGAAAAAUAAUUCAAUUUAUCCUGGACCCUAUUUAGAAACCAAUCAACCCCUAUUUGAGUCCAUAUUCUGCUGGAUCUGCACUCCUUUUGCAAAGGCCCCAUACCUUUUGGAACUGACCCUAGCCCACUAUGCAGACCCCCUAUGGGUGUUAGGUUCCCAUCCCAAAACGUUCCCAUCCCAGUGACUCUUGCUUGCAAGUCAGGAAGAGAUCUUUAUUGGAGGUAAUAACUUCUUAUUUUCUUCUUUGGAGAUCACUUGUAGCCAAGUAAGAUUGUCUUCCAUGAACAUGGUCUUAACAGUGAGUCCGUAAGUGACUGUGGAGGCCAAUUCUGGUUCCACACGUCCUUCCACAGUGGGGACGGUAUUUCCCAGUUGUUGGUGUUUAUACUACAUUUUUUAAGAUUUGCCUUGAGAGAAUCUUUGAACCUCUUUUGUUGAUCACUGGCAUUAUGCUUUCCAUUUUUAAGUUCGGAAUAGAAUAGUUGCUUUGGAAGACGAUCAUCAGGCAUCUCAACAACAUGACCGGUCCAACGAAGUUGAUGUUGAAAAAUCUUUGCUUCAACACUGGUGAUCUUUGCUUCUUCCAGUACACUGGCAUUAGUUCGCCUGUCUUCCCAAGUGAUGUGUAAAUUUUUUCGGAGACACUGUUGAUGGAAUCUUUUGAGGAGUUGGAGGUGGGGUUCAUAAGCGGUCCACAUUUCACAAGCAUACAGUAAGGUUGGUAUUACAAGAGCUUUGUAAACAAGCAUUUUGGUUUCCCUGCAAAUGUCCCGGUCCUCAAACACUCUGCGCUUCAAUUGGGAGAAACCUGUGCUCACAGAGCUCAGGCGAUGCUGAAUUUUGGCAUCAAUGUAGAAACAUAACUGCCCAGGUAGGAAAAGUGAUAGAUACUUUCCAACGUUACACCAUUGAGUUGGAUUUGUGGUGCUGCAGAGGGGUUGUUUUGUGCUUGUUGGCGCAGCACUUUGGUUUUUGGGACAUUGAGUGAUAGGCCAAGCUUUUCGUAAGCUUCUGUGAAGAUAUUUAGGAUGGUUUGGAGGUCAUUCUCUGAGCUUGCACACACUACAUUGUCAUCAGCAUACUGAAGCUCUAUGACGGAAGUUACUCGACAGGAAGCACAAAGUCCACAUGUCAAGGUUCCAUCCAUAACUGAAUGGAAGCGAGGAAGCUGUCCCAACAAGUUGACAUACCCCUUCCCACCAAGCAUUUAAAGAUGAGGUGGGGGAGGCUCACCCAUGGGACUCUUUUGCCCUACGAGUCUGCUGUGAACUCACACAUAUGUUCCACUGUGAUGGGUGCAUCUGAUACUAUCUACAAAGGCAGUACCUGGUUCGUGGUGACAAGACUGUCUUCUGCUCUUCUGACUCCAGCUCUGAUGCCUCCUCCUCCUUACUGGUUAACAUCUCCUCUCUAUCCCUGGUGAGGAUACUGUGCUCUGCAAAAGAGGUAGGAGAGAAAGAUGGCAGUUGUUGCCCAAAACAUCUGUAUGGGAGCAAGUUGGUGAAGGCUGAUUUUUGAGAAGGGUAAAUUGACUUUUUCUUUAAAAAGCAUCUUAAAAAGCAGAGACGUCACCUUGCCAACAA
rnacentral:lncRNA from 1 species